GACGAACGCUGGCGGCGUGCCUAAUACAUGCAAGUAGGACGCAGUUGCGAACGGGUGAGUAACGCGUCGGUAACUGCCUAUUAGAGGGGGCUAACUACUGGAAACGAUAGCUAAUACCGCAUACUAGUAGAUGGACCUGCGUUGUAUUAGCUAGUAUGUAGGGUAAUGGCCUACCUAGGUAACGAUACAUAGCCGAGUUGUGGGGGUGGUCGGGCCAACUGGGAACUGAACACGGCCCAGACUUCUACGGGGAGCAGCAGUAGGGAAUCUUCGGCAAUGGGGGGAAAGCUGACCGAGCAACGCCGCGUGGGUGAAGAAGGGUUUCGGAGCGUAAAGCUCUGUUGAUAAGGAAGCGGUACUUAACCAGAAAGGGACGGCUAACUACGUGCCAGCAGCCGCGGUAAUUC
rnacentral:rRNA from 1 species